rnacentral:rRNA from 1 species
GGCGAACGCUGGCGGCGUGCUUAACACAUGCAAGUCGAACGGGCUGAGAUAGCUUGCUAUCAAGGCUAGUGGCAAACGGGUGAGUAACGCGUAGGCAACCUGCCCAUGAGAUGGGGACAACAUUCCGAAAGGGAUGCUAAUACCGAAUGAUGUUACGGAGUCGCAUGACUCUGUAACCAAAGGCUGAGCAAUCGGUCACUCAUGGAUGGGCCUGCGUCUGAUUAGCUAGUUGGUGGGGUAACGGCCCACCAAGGCGACGAUCAGUAGCCGGUCUGAGAGGAUGAACGGCCACAUUGGGACUGAGACACGGCCCAG